ensembl:lncRNA
UUUUGCCACACAUCACAAAAUUGCUUCUGGAAAGAUUAUAUGAAUAUAUACUUUUACUAAAAGCAUAUAAGAAUACCUGUCUAAUGCCAUCCUUAUUAAAUAAGCACUGAACUUUAUAAUUUUAAAAGUUGUCAGUUUAUAUAGGCAAAAUGUUAUCUCAUAUAUUUAAUUUAUAUUAGCUUAUAAUUUUGAAGAUUUUAUAUUUCUUUUAUGAACUGCUUGUUCACACCUUAGUUCAUUUUAUAUUGAGCUAUUAGUGCUUUUUAUUGAUUUGUAAGAGCUCUUUACAUAUUAAGGUUGUCAAAUGUUCUGCUAUGUUUACUGUAAAUCUUUGCUUCUCAGGUGGCAUUUUGGCAUUUACCUUUUAUUUUUGUUAUGAUGGGGCUUUUGAUGUUGUUGUAUAGCAAUUUAAGAUUUUGGGGUGACUUUUCCAACUGUGUUUACGUGAAAUACAGAUACAGAUCUGGUUAUGACUGUGUCCUUUGCAUUAACUUUAAACUUUAUCUGGAAUUAAUUUUGAUAUGAGGUACAAGGCAAGGGACUUACUUCUCCCCCACUCCCCAAGAUUUCUUUUCUUUUUAGGUAAAAGAGGAUAGAUAAAAUGAGGUCAAGAGGGAGAAUCUAUGUUGAACCAGGCUUCUUUUAAAAAAUAUUUAUUUAAUUAUAGUUGAUUUACAAUGUUGUGCCAAUGUCUGCUGUACAGCAAAGUGAUCUAGCCAUAUAUAUAUGUAUAUACAUAAUGCACAUAUACAUUUAUAUAUAUAUGUACACUCCUUUUUUGAUAUUAUCUUAAAAAUAAGGAAGGCUGCUCAAAUUUGCUGGUCACCCUUGCUCAGGGGCCACGCUAAUCUUCUCUGUGUUGUUCCAGUGUUAGCAUAUGUGCUGCGGAAACGAGCCCUGAACCAGGUUUCUGCGGAUGCAUUUGGCUGGCUGUCACUCAAGGAUGUUGAAAAAACAUAGUCAUGUCCGUUUUGAAUAUGUUGAGUCUGAGUGCUCUGGGUUCAAGGGGAGAUAGUGAGCUGGCAGCUGGCAUACAGGCACGACGUCCAAGGAAGAGGUUUGAGGCAGACCCUGCAGACAUGAGAGUCAUCGGUGUUCAGAUGGCAAGAGACACCACAGGCUGGGAGGAGCUCACCCGGGCAGAUGCGUAAGGUAAAGGAGGGACGUGAAGCCAGGUACCCUGGGCGGCGACCACGCUAAGGGUGGUGAAGCUGUGGAGAGGGAGUGAGAGGGAGGAGCCAAGUGCCACAGAUGGGGAAACAAAGCAAAAAUAAUCUGAAAAAGGAAGAGGUGAGCACAGCAUCAGGAGAGACAGAACCCAGUCUUCACGGGCUGGGUGAGCUGGAGAUGGGGCAGCAGGGGGGUAAGAGCAAGCUCGUUUGGGAGCAGGUUUCUCAAUAAGAGAAGGAGGAUGGUGGCAGGGACGUGCUUGGGUGAUACCAUUAAAAGAAGGUUUAAGGGGGAAGUCUGAGGGUGCCUGAGGGUGGAAGGAAGGGCACCGGUGGGAAGAGGGACGUUUAACAUACAGGGGAGGAGAUGCCGCAAGGACCCGAGGGGCAGGAGUGAUGGGAGGAGACGGGGGAGGAUCAGCCCUGAGUGAGGAUGGACCUGACCGCCAGGGCCAAGGGGAGGGUUAGCGGGACAAAGUCCAGCCUCUUGGCCUCUAUUCUCUCUGUAAAGCAGGAGAUGAAGUCAUCUAUGGGGAAGGAGGUAAACAGAGGCAAGGAAGGACAUUUUUUUGAGAGGCUUGGAACAACCAAACCGCUGUAGGAAACGGAAAUGGGAAAGCAUGACGGGACAAGCCCAAGGGCUGGUGAGGUGCAUUCAGAGCGUGGUAGCUGAUGGAGUGGAUCCCGGGCGGGAUGGCUGUGUGACUUUCUUGGUCAAGCAUCGCAGGCCAGAAGUAGAGAGAAAGCGAGUGGCUGUGGAUCUGAGUAGGCAGCUGGGUGGGGCAGAAAGGCAAAGGGGUAAGGACGCUGGAGGAAGAAAUUCCGUAAAGAGACGGAUCAAAGGGUCCAGGGUGCGUAAGCAAGGACGUGACGCUAGGACAGGAAUGACGGGCUGGUGAAAUGCUGAGGACUCCAAGGAUGGAAGGUCGAAAUAAGGUCAAAAAGCAGAUUCUGCGGGAGGGAGGGUGUGGAAGAGACGUAGGGAGAGGGCGUUCUGGUGAGAAGCUGGAAUUUCCGAGUUCAUGAUGUCUGAAGAAAUUCGGGGGGAUGGUCAGAGGGAGGGUGGGGCCCGGUCCCUACGGCCUUCUGCUGCCGGAGUGGAGGAGACGGGGUGGAGAUCCCGCGGGAUGUGGAUGGUCUGGGUGGGGGUGACGUUCCCGGGAUGAAGGCGGGAACAGCGGUGAGCCGCGAGGUGUGGCGUCAAGUGCCGACGUUCAGAUGCAGAGGGGAGAUGACAUCGGCAGAUGACAGUGACAGGAAGGCAGAGAGGCUGCCACAGCCUCAGAGAGCAGGGACGGUCGUGGGAGGGUGACAGAACCCGUGCGGACACACAGGUGUCACGGCUCACAGUACUGGGGGGUCACAGGAACGGGGCACCCUGAUUGGGCCGGCCAAAGUGGGGCAGCAGCUUCAAGGCUCUGUUGAUUUGGUUUGUGGGUUGGUUCAGUCAUCCAUUCAUUCAAAAAGGAUUUGAUGAGAUGGGUCUGAUGAGCCCUGAGCACUGUGCUUCCGUGUUGUGCGGAGGCUGCCUCUUCCACAGGAAUGCACUAGAGCCAGCAGCCUUUCCCCUUUUUGCCAAAGGGGGCCCCACUCUCUCUCAGCAAGCCCCCCACACCAAAGUCCUGCCACCAAAGCCAGGCAGGCACCGACACGGCUGAUGGUCGGUAAGAGAUCUUCUUGUUACAGCUUUUUCCCCAGAGAUAAAUAGGCCACAGUAAAAAAGACUGCUACAUCCUUUCAAUAAAGAUUUUUUUUUUUUCCUUUUCCAGACAGCUUGAGAAAUGUUUUAAAAGCUUCUCACAUUUCCAGUGAAACCCACAGAGAAGAAUUUUGCUUGUUAUCAGCCCUGGAAGCCUCUGAUAGACGGGUGACAUUUUUUUCCCCUUUUUCUUUCUCUUUUUCUCUUUUCCUUUUUUUCACCAGCUGAAGAGAGAGUCACAGCGUGUUUUAUAACUGGCUCUCUGCAUUUCAAAAGCUCAACGAGAGCUCUCUGCUAACCCCGAUAAGCCUUGGGCUCUUAGCGUCUUAAAUACCUCUGACAAGCUAUACAUUACAGCGCUAAUAAUUUGCCAAAUUUGCGCCCAUAAUAUGAUAUCUGUAAACCGUCAAGGGCAGUAAUGCGAUUAGCGCUCUCAAAUGAAAUAUCGAACAUUCAGCGUUUAGGUCCUGAAUAGGGGGAGAAAGGAAAGGAAAUCAAUUUCAAAAGCAGGAGGGAAAAAGGCGAUAAGCGUGUAAUAAAAAUAGAGAGAGACAGAGGAGAGAUGCAGGAGGAGAGAGACGGGCAGAGCAAGACGCGGGCAGAGAUGCUCGGGCUCGCCUUCCUUUGCGGGCAGGUGAGAGAUGUAAAAAACUUUUACACAUUCGUUGGACCGCGGAGCUGGGACAGCACGUUUGGUCGCCAGGGCAACGGGGCUGGGGUGGAAGGAGGGAGGUGGGAGAGUCGUAAUGGACUAAUUAUCUGGCCAGCAGAGGCGGUGGCGGCGGCAGUCGCAGGAGAGAGGGCCCGGGCUGUCACAUACCAGGCUCUAGACUAAAUAACAACAUCUCACACCUGCAGCUUUACGAGCCCUUUGCCGAGAGGAGCACGCCCUCCCUCUCUGUCUCUCCGGCUUCUCCCCAUGCGCUUGUGGGCCCCCACUCGCGGCGGCUGCGGGGGCACCAGACGCGGGAGCAGGGGAGGGGGGGGGGGGCGUCUCACCCUUGCUGAAGCCACUGCCCACGACUCCAACCUUGCAACCCGCGGGAAUCUACACGAAAGGCUCCUCUGGAGCCUUCCGGGUACUUUGUCCAGGGCUGUGGGCAAGGCGAGGGGACCCUGCCGUGAAAAGGCCCCAUCGCAGACUUUGCCCGUGAGCCGGUUUAUCUGCACCUGCAGUUACCUGUCUCGGGCCGAGGGGCUGCCUCUAGCGAGGGGCCACACUGGAGUGUGUAGUGGGCCCUCGCGCUCAGUGGGUUACGGCCGAGGCAGGAGCCUUGCCCCACGGCUCUCUGCUUUGCUCCUUUCAUAUCGCUCCCGAAUACCCAGCUGCACAGGGAGAAGCCGUCCUUUCUAAAUGCGCUGUGCUUGCCCUUUCGGCACCACUUGGUCUUGGAAGGGACCCCAUAACCCUGAACCUCCCUCUUUUGCAAAGAGAUGAGAUGGAGCUGCGUCAAAAGAAGAGAGAAAACCACGGACACGGACGCGGGAGCCGGCGCCUCAUCAGGGGGAUGGUGGUCAGAGGAAAAGGACCAAGUCCUUCCUCCCGCUUGAAGGCCGCGUCCUCUAGUCCCACGGCCGCCCCACAGCCAGUCCGAGGCUCCCAACCACGAUGCAGGCCAGCUCACCCGGGCUAAGAGGGGCUGAAAGCUGGCGGAUGGCCUGGGGCUGGAGAAACGCCAACAGGCGGCCUGGGGCUGGCCCGAGACCUUCCCAGAGCUGCCUGGAAUGGCCAUUACAGGGCCACUUCUUGCGGCACCACGAGCCAUUAAAACAGGAGUGCCCGGGGAGCCAUCAGCCCAGCACAGAUGACUUCCCCAGAUGUGGCAGGGGGGCAGGAUGUAGAAGCCCCCACCCCAAUCUACAGACAAAACAUUCCCGCACUAACCAUCCUCGGAAACCCCACAGCCCAGAGCCCCUCUUACAGAUGCUUUCUAGACCAUUUAGCAGGAGGCAGUGUUUAUGUUUGAACAUGUGC